UACGUAGGGGGCAAGCGUUGUCCGGAAUCAUUGGGCGUAAAGAGCGUGUAGGCGGUUCGGUAAGUCGGCUGUGAAAGUCCAGGGCUCAACCCUGGGAUGCCGGUCGAUACUGCCGGACUAGAGUUCGGAAGAGGCGAGUGGAAUUCCCGGUGUAGCGGUGAAAUGCGCAGAUAUCAGGAGGAACACCAAUGGCGAAGGCAGCUCGCUGGGACGUGACUGACGCUGAGACGCGAAAGCGUGGGGAGCGAACAGG
rnacentral:rRNA from 1 species